rnacentral:lncRNA from 1 species
AGCUACUCAGGAGGCUGAGGCAGGAGGAUUGCUUGAGCUCAGGAAUUGGAGACCAGCCUGGUCAACAUGGUGAGACCUUCUCUCUACAAAAAAUACAAAAUUAGCUGGGUGUGGUAGUGUGUGCCUGUAGUCCCAGCUACUCAGGAGGCUGAGGUGGGAGGAUCACUGGAGUCUGGGAGUUCAAGGCUGCAGUGAGCUGUGAUUGCACCAUUGCAUUCCAGCCUUGGUGACAGAAUGAGAUCCUGUCUGAAAAAGAAGUACAUAUCUUAAAGGCAAAAUUUUAUGGAUUUACCAAAUGAUACACCCUUGUAACUACCACAAAAAGUUUAUGAUAUAGAAUUUUUUUCAUCAUUCCCAAGAGUUCUCUCAUGUUCUCUUUCAGUUGACAUUCUACAUAGGCAACCACUGACCUAGUUUCUAUCACUACAGAGUUUUCCCUGUUCUAUUUCUUUAACAGAGACAGGGCUAUUCAGAUUUUCUGUUUCUUCUUGUGUCAGAUUUUUACAUGUUGUAUUUUUCAAGAAAUGUGUCCAAUUUAUCUAAGUUGUUGAAUUUAUUGGCAUAAUGUUAUGCACAAUAUUUCCUUAUUAUUCUAUUAAUAACUAUGUGAUCUGUGGCAUAAAAUGUAAGCAAAUACUUACCAUAAAUCCUGCCUUAAGCAAAUUAUAGGCUGUGAAGCAUAUAGCAUUCUUGCCUUUCCCAGAGGGGUCCACUUCAGUUGUUUUACACAGUCCUUCUGAAGCAGGACUUACAUGCCUUUCUUUAUGGCAUAUAAGCCCUGGGUCCGGGUUGGGGGAAAGUGUGGGGAUCCACCAUCUCAUCUCAUGGCUGCCCUAGACAUGGCUUCUGUUCCUAAGUUCCUAUUAAAGGUUUCUUUCUGAGAAAACGGAUUUGUCAGCCUCUUUCUUCAACAUCUCAGCUACCUUAAUUUUGGGGGGUAGGUUUGCAUAGACCUGCUGUCUAUGGAACAUCCACAAAUUUUGAUUUUUAAAAUUAUUAUUCAGGCUAAAAUAUCUUUUAAAUUUACUGUGAUUUCUUCUUUAACUCAGUUAUUUAGAACUAUGUUGUGGGACUUCCAAAUAUUUGGGAGUUUUAAGAUAUCUUAUUGUUAUUGAUUUCUAAUUUCAUUCUGUUAUGUUUAGAGAGCAUAUUCUGUAUUUUUCAAUCCUUUGAAAUUUAUUAAGCCACAUUUUAUAUUUCAGCACGAGAUCUAUCUUGGUAACUAGUCCAUGUGCACUUGAAAAUCGUUGUUUAUUCUGCAGAUACUAGAGAUGGGGAUCUCACUAUGUUGCCCAGGCUUGUCUUGAACUCCUG